UACGGAGGGUGCAAGCGUUAAUCGGAAUUACUGGGCGUAAAGCGUACGUAGGUGGUUUGUUAAGCUAGCUGUGAAAUCCCCGGGCUCAACCUGGGCACUGCAGUUAGAACUGGCAAGCUAGAGUAGGGUAGAGGGGUGUGGAAUUCCAGGUGUAGCGGUGAAAUGCGUAGAUAUCUGGAGGAACAUCAGUGGCGAAGGCGACACCCUGGACUCAUACUGACACUGAGGUACGAAAGCGUGGGGAGCAAACAGG
rnacentral:rRNA from 1 species